AGUCUGAUGGAGCACGCCGCGUGAGUGAAGAAGGCUUUCGGGUCGUAAACUCUGUUGUUGGAGAAGAAUGGUCGGCAGAGUACUGUUGUCGCGUGACGGUAUCCACCAGAAGCCACGGCUAACUACGUGCCAGCAGCCGCGGUAAUACGUAGGUGGCAAGCGUUAUCCGGAUUUAUUGGGCGUAAAGCGAGCGCAGGCGGUUUUUUAAGUCUGAUGUGAAAGCCCUCGGCUUAACCGAGGAAGCGCAUCGGAAACUGGGAAACUUGAGUGCAGAAGAGGACAGUGGAACUCCAUGUGUAGCGGUGAAAUGCGUAGAUAUAUGGAAGAACACCAGUGGCGAAGGCGGCUGUCUGGUCUGUAACUGACGCUGAGGCUCGAAAGCAUGGGUAGCGAACAGGAUUAGAUACCCUGGUAGUCCAUGCCGUAAACGAUGAAUGCUAGGUGUUGGAGGGUUUCCGCCCUUCAGUGCCGCAGCUAACGCAUUAAGCAUUCCGCCUGGGGAGUACGACCGCAAGGUUGAAACUCAAAGGAAUUGACGGGGGCCCGCACAAGCGGUGGAGCAUGUGGUUUAAUUCGAAGCAACGCGAAGAACCU
rnacentral:rRNA from 2 species